UUGGUGAGUACGGUUCACCAGGCAUACGAUCCGUAGGUUCGAAGAGAACGUCCCCCACAUUGGAUUGAGACACGGUUCCAAACUCCUACCGGAGGCAGCAGUGAGGAAUAUUGUCAAUGGGCGAGAGCCUGAACCAGCCAAGUAGCUGGCAGAAGACGGCCCUAUGGGUUGUAAACUGCUUUUAUAUGGGAUAAAGUGAGCUACGGUGUUAGUUUAUUGCAGGUACCAUAUGAAUAAGGACCGGCUAAUUCCGUGCCAGCAGCCGCGGUAAUACGGAAGGUCCAGGCGUUAUCCGGAUUUAUUGGGUUUAAAGGGAGCGUAGGCCGCCCCUUAAGCGUGUUGUGAAAUGCCGCGGCUCAACCGUGGCACUGCAGCGCGAACUGGGGGGCUUGAGUGCACGCAACGCAGGCGGAAUUCGUGGUGUAGCGGUGAAAUGCUUAGAUAUCACGAAGAACUCCGAUUGCGAAGGCAGCUUGCGGGAGUGCGACUGACGCUGAAGCUCGAAGGUGCGGGUAUCGAACAGGAUUAGAUACCCUGGUAGUCCGCACAGUAAACGAUGGAUGCCCGCUGUGUGCCUUCAUGGUACGCGGCCAAGCGAAAGCGUUAAGCAUCCCACCUGGGGAGUACGCCGGCAACGGUGAAACUCAAAGGAAUUGACGGGGGCCCGCACAAGCGGAGGAACAUGUGGUUUAAUUCGAUGAUACGCGAGGAACCUUACCCGGGCUUGAAUUGCAGAAGACGGAUCCAGAGAUGGUGACUCCCUUCGGGGCUUCUGUGAAGGUGCUGCAUGGUUGUCGUCAGCUCGUGCCGUGAGGUGUCGGCUUAAGUGCCAUAACGAGCGCAACCCCAGUCCUUAGUUGCCAUCAGGUAGAGCUGGGCACUCUGAGGAUACUGCCACCGCAAGGUGUGAGGAAGGUGGGGAUGACGUCAAAUCAGCACGGCCCUUACGUCCGGGGCUACACACGUGUUACAAUGGGUGGUACAGAGAGUAGAGUGCCCGCAAGGUCAUUCCAAUCAAGAAAGCCAUCCCCAGUUCGGAUUGGGGUCUGCAACCCGACCCCAUGAAGCUGGAUUCGCUAGUAAUCGCGCAUCAGCCAUGGCGCGGUGAAUACGUUCCCGGGCCUUGCACACACCGCCCGUCAAGGGCGAAUUCGCCCUU
rnacentral:rRNA from 1 species